ACAGGGGGUCAAACUCCAGGUCUGAGGCAAGCCGUGCCUCUGAAAUCUGCAUGAUGUAAAAUGUCAAGUCUGACCACCCAACACAGGAGCAGAGCGAAUGAGGCGAUGCACGUGUUUGCACGUCGGGUGCGUAUCAAUUUCCCAUGCAGAGACCCAUGGAAGAGCCACUGGGCGAUUUAAAGGAGGUACAGCGCAGAGGGGUUUCCACUCCAGAACCUAAGAAAGCGGAGUGCUAUCUUCUCCACGCUGAGGACCUGCUACUAGAGGGCAGAGACCCGAGCCGAGGGGUGGAGCAGCACGGGCAGAGAAAGUUCCCAUCUGCUGGCGCUCCAGCUGCUGCAGUCCCCUUUCAUCCCCGGGCACCCCGGCCAACACUCCAUCUCCGGACCUCCCCCUCUCCCGUGUCUCAGACACAACGUAGUAAACACCCGGAGUCCCAGGCAGCGCGCACCUCCCCCAGGCCUGCGGAGGACAUCCCGGCAGGUUAUGAAUGGCCUCACUAUACCCAGCUCCUUUUCACACGCGGGCACGCGCACACGCGCGCCCCGGAGGCGAAGAUUUAAUACCCCCGGUCAGAGCAACGGCCAACAGAAUCAAUGGCCCUCCAUCAGAGAGAGAGAAAGGAAGGCGCUCACGCUUCCCAGGCCUCACCAAAGAGGUUCUAGACCGGGCGACACAACCCAUUUUCCCAGGUUGACUCUAAUGUGAGGACGUUCCUUCUCCUAAUUAUAUUCCCUGCACCGACUGGAUAGUGGGAAUUCAGAGUACGCCCAACUUGGAACCUUCCAGGGUAUUGGAUAUCAGGAGAAGUGAAUUUCCACAGGCGAUCGCAGAUUUGCUACGUUCUUUCUCAAUGUGCGGAAAGUAUGAAUAAAUUCUCAUUGUAAGUGGGGUUGCAUGCUGAGGCCUCUACCAGUUACCCGGACACGCGUUUCUGGGAGCAAAUAAGCGCUAAAUGCUACCAACGGGUAUGAAAAGCAGCAUUUACUUCUUUUCCUUCCACAAGCAAAAAGUAUUUAGAGAAACCGAAAAGUCAUACCUAAUCGCUAAAAUUUUGCACUUUUUGGCUACUUCACUAACGAAUUCGAGGUGAAGGGUCUAUUG
rnacentral:lncRNA from 1 species